rnacentral:rRNA from 1 species
UAACGCGUUAAGUAGACCGCCUGGGGAGUACGGUCGCAAGAUUAAAACUCAAAUGAAUUGACGGGGGCCCGCACAAGCGGUGGAGCAUGUGGUUUAAUUCGAUGCAACGCGAAGAACCUUACCUACUCUUGACAUCCAGAGAAGCCAGCGGAGACGCAGGUGUGCCUUCGGGAACUCUGAGACAGGUGCUGCAUGGCUGUCGUCAGCUCGUGUUGUGAAAUGUUGGGUUAAGUCCCGCAACGAGCGCAACCCUUAUCCUUGUUUGCCAGCGAGUAAUGUCGGGAACUCCAGGGAGACUGCCGGUGAUAAACCGGAGGAAGGUGGGGACGACGUCAAGUCAUCAUGGCCCUUACGAGUAGGGCUACACACGUGCUACAAUGGCGCAUACAGAGGGCAGCAAGCUAGCGAUAGUGAGCGAAUCCCAAAAAGUGCGUCGUAGUCCGGAUUGGAGUCUGCAACUCGACUCCAUGAAGUCGGAAUCGCUAGUAAUCGUGAAUCAGAAUGUCACGGUGAAUACGUUCCCGGGCCUUGUACACACCGCCCGUCACAGCCAUGGGAGUGGGCUGCAAAAGAAGUGGGU